rnacentral:rRNA from 1 species
GAUGAACGCUGGCGGCGUGCCUAAUACAUGCCAGUCGAGCGAACGGACGAGAAGCUUGCUUUUCUGUUGUUAGCGGCGGACGGGUGAGUAACACGUGGAUAACCUACCUAUAAGACUGGGAUAACUUCGGGAAACCGGAGCUAAUACCGGAUAAUAUUUUGAACCGCAUGGUUCAAAAGUGAAAUACGGUCUUGCUGUCACUUCUAGCUGGAUCCGGGCUGCAUGAGCUAGUUGGUAAGGUAACGGCUUACCAAGGCAACCAGGCGUAGCCGACCGGAGAGGCGGGUCGGCCGCCCGGGAAGGGGACCGGGGUCCAGACGCCUACGAGAGGGAGCAGUAGGGAAUCUGCCGCAAUAGGCGAAAGCAUGACGGAGCAACGCGACGUGAGUGGUGAAGGCCCUCGGAGCGUGAAACUCUGUUAUGGGGGAAGAACAUAUGUGUAAGUAGCUGUGCCGAGCUUGACGGUACCUAAUCAAAAAGCCACGGCUAACUACGUG